rnacentral:rRNA from 1 species
GACGAACGCUGGCGGCGUGCUUAACACAUGCAAGUCGAACGGAAAGGCCCUGCUUUUGUGGGGUGCUCGAGUGGCGAACGGGUGAGUAACACGUGAGUAACCUGCCCUUGACUUUGGGAUAACUUCAGGAAACUGGGGCUAAUACCUGAUAGGAGCUCCUGCUGCAUGGUGGGGGUUGGAAAGUUUCGGCGGUUGGGGAUGGACUCGCGGCUUAUCAGCUUGUUGGUGGGGUAGUGGCUUACCAAGGCUUUGACGGAUAGCCGGCCUGAGAGGGUGACCGGGCACAUUGGGACUGAGAUACGGACCAGACUCCUACGGGAGGCAGCAGUGGGGAAUAUUGCACAAUGGGCGGAAGCCUGAUGCAGCAACGCCGCGAGCGGGAUGACGGCCUUCGGGUUGGAAACCGCUUUCGCCUGUGACGAAGCGUGAGUGACGGUAAUGGGGAAAGAAGCACCGGCUAACUACGUG